CUUGAAACAUGCUUACUGUUUCACAGCAAAGGCACGCGAAGCCCCCGUCGAAGCUCGCUUUGACUGAGCCUAUUGGGCACGCCAGUGAAGCAAGCAAAGAUGGCCGGCUACGGGAGGAUGGAUCCACGGCGUGGAUGGGGCCCUUACGGUAAGUAAAUGUCAUCUUGCCUCUUCUCUGGCGCUUGUUUUUGCGUAUACAGGCUGACAUGGUAACCAAACGAAGAUUGAACUUUUGCCAUGCUCUCUUUUUUGUUAACUGCU